rnacentral:rRNA from 1 species
GUAGGUGGCAAGCGUUGUCCGGGAAUUAUUGGGCGUAAAGCGCGCGCAGGCGGUUCUUUAAGUCUGAUGUGAAAGCCCACGGCUCAACCGUGGAGGGUCAUUGGAAACUGGAGAACUUGAGUACAGAAGAGGAAAGCGGAAUUCCACGUGUAGCGGUGAAAUGCGUAGAGAUGUGGAGGAACACCAGUGGCGAAGGCGGCUUUCUGGUCUGUAACUGACGCUGAGGCGCGAAAGCGUGGGGAGCAAACAGGAUUAGAUACCCUGGUAGUCCACGCCGUAAACGAUGAGUGCUAAGUGUUAGGGGGUUUCCGCCCCUUAGUGCUGCAGCUAACGCAUUAAGCACUCCGCCUGGGGAGUACGGCCGCAAAGGCUG